AGCCUACCCUAGCCCAACCACACUACAUAAACCACAACAAAAAUCUACUUUUUCCUCUAACUAAAACAUUCUCUAAACUUAGUAUAGGCGAUAGAAAAGACCUACUUGGCGCGAUAGAAAUUCCGUACCGUAAGGGAAAGAUGAAAUAGCAAUGAAAAACUAAGCAAUAAGAAGCAAAGAUUCACCCUUGUACCUUUUGCAUCAUGAUUUAGCGAGAAUAACCAAGCAAAAUGAAUUUAAGCUUGCCCUCCCGAAACCCAAGCGAGCUACUUACAAGCAGCUAUCCAUGAGCGAACCCGUCUCUGUUGCAAAAGAGUGGGACGACUUGUUAGUAGAGGUGAAAAGCCUAUCGAGCUGGGUGAUAGCUGGUUGCCUGUGAAAUGAAUCUAAGUUCCCCUCUGACCCUUCUCCCCGGAUAUAAACCUCAACCUGCAUGUAGUGAGUCAGAAGUAAUUUAAAGGGGGUACAGCUCCUUUAAAAAAGAAUACAACCUCUGUUAGCGGAUAACUGUCCAACUUUUUACAUGCUGUAGGCCUUCAAGCAGCCACCAAUAAAGAGUGCGUCAAAGCUCCAUACAUAAAAAUCCAAUAACGAUACGACUCCCUUCCCACUAACAGGCCAACCUAUGCCAAUAGGGGUAUUAAUGCUAAAAUGAGUAACUAGGGACUAUCCCCUCUCAAGCGCAAGUUUACAUCCUCCCAUCAUUAACAGAUAGCAAAACCAAUAUCUCAAUUACAACAAGACUAAGAUAUUGACCCAUUCUGUUGUUCCAACUCAGGAGCGCCCACUUAGAAAGAUUAAAAUCUGUAAAAGGAACUAGGCAAACCCAGGGCCCGACUGUUUACCAAAAACAUAGCCUUCAGCCCACCAAGUAUUGAAGGUGAUGCCUGCCCAGUGACACAAUGUUUAACGGCCGCGGUAUCCUAACCGUGCGAAGGUAGCGCAAUCAAUUGUCCCAUAAAUCGAGACUUGUAUGAACGGCUAAACGAGGUCUUAACUGUCUCCUACAGAUAAUCAGUGAAAUUGAUCUUCCUGUGCAAAAGCAGGAAUACUCACAUAAGACGAGAAGACCCUGUGGAACUUAAAAAUCAGCAGCCACUAUACACAUAACCCUAACCUACUAGGUCUACUAUUUCCAAAUACUGGCUCGCAUUUUUCGGUUGGGGCGACCUUGGAGAAAAAUAAACCCUCCAAAAAUAAGACCACACCUCUUGACCAAGAGCAACCCCUCAACGUACUAACAGUACCCAGACCCAAUAUACUUGACCAAUGGACCAAGCUACCCCAGGGAUAACAGCGCAAUCUCCUCUAAGAGCCCCCAUCGACGAGGAGGUUUACGACCUCGAUGUUGGAUCAGGACACCCUAAUGGUGCAGCCGCUAUUAAGGGUUCGUUUGUUCAACGAUUAACAGUCCUACGUGAUCUGAGUUCAGACCGGAGCAAUCCAGGUCGGUUUCUAUCUAUGACAAACCUUCUCCAGUACGAAAGGACCGAGAAAGUAGGGCCAAUACUACAAGCACGCCCUCUCCCCAAGUAAUGUACCCAACUGAAUUACCUAAGGACACCCCACACUAUUUCUCCUAGAAAAGGACUA
rnacentral:rRNA from 1 species